rnacentral:rRNA from 1 species
GACGAACGCUGGCGGCGUGCUUAACACAUGCAAGUCGAACGGAAAGGCCCUGCUUUUGUGGGGUGCUCGAGUGGCGAACGGGUGAGUAACACGUGAGUAACCUGCCCUUGACUUUGGGAUAACUUCAGGAAACUGGGGCUAAUACCGGAUAGGAGCUCCUGCUGCAUGGUGGGGGUUGGAAAGUUUCGGCGGUUGGGGAUGGACUCGCGGCUUAUCAGCUUGUUGGUGGGGUAGUGGCUUACCAAGGCUUUGACGGGUAGCCGGCCUGAGAGGGUGACCGGCCACAUUGGGACUGAGAUACGGCCCAGACUCCUACGGGAGGCAGCAGUGGGGAAUAUUGCACAAUGGGCGGAAGCCUGAUGCAGCAACGCCGCGUGCGGGAUGACGGCCUUCGGGUUGUAAACCGCUUUCGCCUGUGACGAAGCGUGAGUGACGGUAAUGGGUAAAGAAGCACCGGCUAACUACGUGCCAGCAGCCGCGGUGAUACGUAGGGUGCGAGCGUUGUCCGGAUUUAUUGGGCGUAAAGGGCUCGUAGGUGGUUGAUCGCGUCGGAAUGUAAUCUUGGGGCUUAACCCUGAGCGUGCUUUCGAUACGGGUUGACUUGAGGAAGGUAGGGGAGAAUGGAAUUCCUGGUGGAGCGGUGGAAUGCGCAGAUAUCAGGAGGAACACCAGUGGCGAAGGCGGUUCUCUGGGCCUUUCCUGACGCUGAGGAGCGAAAGCGUGGGGAGCGAACAGGCUUAGAUACCCUGGUAGUCCACGCUGUAAACGGUGGGUACUAGGUGUGGGGUCCAUUCCACGGGUUCCGUGCCGUAGCUAACGCUUUAAGUACCCCGCCUGGGGAGUACGGCCGCAAGGCUAAAACUCAAAGGAAUUGACGGGGCCCCGCACAAGCGGCGGAGCAUGCGGAUUAAUUCGAUGCAACGCGUAGAACCUUACCUGGGUUUGACAUGGAUCGGGAGCGCUCAGAGAUGGGUGUGCCUCUUUUGGGGUCGGUUCACAGGUGGUGCAUGGCUGUCGUCAGCUCGUGUCGUGAGAUGUUGGGUUAAGUCCCGCAACGAGCGCAACCCUUGUUCACUGUUGCCAGCACGUUAUGGUGGGGACUCAGUGGAGACCGCCGGGGUCAACUCGGAGGAAGGUGGGGAUGACGUCAAGUCAUCAUGCCCCUUAUGUCCAGGGCUUCACGCAUGCUACAAUGGCUGGUACAGAGAGUGGCGAGCCUGUGAGGGUGAGCGAAUCUCGGAAAGCCGGUCUCAGUUCGGAUUGGGGUCUGCAACUCGACCUCAUGAAGUCGGAGUCGCUAGUAAUCGCAGAUCAGCAACGCUGCGGUGAAUACGUUCCCGGG